UCAAAAUCAAUUUAGUCACCCUGGGAUUCUUGCUCCUUAUCUCUCAGAAGACUACUGGGAUUUUGGAAGCAUCUCCCUAUGCUACACACUUCUUGGAGGCAAGAGAACCUAGCUUUGUUUCUGGAACCAUUCAGUGGGGACUACAGGAACACAAGGCUGGCUGAUAGGCCCUCCUAUCUUCCCUAUGAUGCAUAGGAAAAAGAUCUCUGCAUGGAAAUCUUCCAUCCCCUACAUAGCCCAAAACACUGGGACUGGAAGAAGCAAGUUAUCAUCUAGUUCUCCUUUUUUUUUUUUUUUUUGGUUGUAAAAUUAGUGGGGUUUUCCUGUUCAAUAUUUCCAUUGGAAACCUCAACAAAUCCAACCCACCUGGACCUCAUGGCAUUUUUCAAAAGAACAAACCUGUGAUUGAUCUUGCAGAGCAUACCCCCACACUGCGGGAAUGGGCCAGCUCUAGAAAGUAUGUUAUUCUACCAAAUCCUAUUUCUCCACCCCUCCCUUCUUUGUUGAGUUUAUAGCAAUGAUGAAGGCUAAGCACCUGCAACUGUAGAUGCCUUCAAGUUCUUCAGUUUUUUUGAA